rnacentral:rRNA from 1 species
UAUAUUUGAGAGUUUGAUCCUGGCUCAGGAUGAACGCUGGCGGCGUGCCUAACACAUGCAAGUCGAGCGAUUCUCUUCGGAGAAGAGCGGCGGACGGGUGAGUAACGCGUGGGUAACCUGCCCUGUACACACGGAUAACAUACCGAAAGGUAUGCUAAUACGAGAUGAUAUAUUUUUAUUGCAUGAUAAAAAUAUCAAAGCUUUUGCGGUACAGGAUGGACCCGCGUCUGAUUAGCUAGUUGGUAAGGUAACGGCUUACCAAGGCGACGAUCAGUAGCCGACCUGAGAGGGUGAUCGGCCACACUGGAACUGAGACACGGUCCAGACUCCUACGGGAGGCAGCAGUGGGGAAUAUUGCACAAUGGGCGAAAGCCUGAUGCAGCAACGCCGCGUGAGCGAUGAA